rnacentral:rRNA from 1 species
GUGAGGAACCUGCCUCAAAGAGGGGGACAACAGUUGGAAACGACUGCUAAUACCGCAUAAGCCCACGACCCGGCAUCGGGAAGAGGGAAAAGGAGCAAUCCGCUUUGAGAUGGCCUCGCGUCCGAUUAGCUAGUUGGUGAGGUAACGGCCCACCAAGGCGACGAUCGGUAGCCGGACUGAGAGGUUGAACGGCCACAUUGGGACUGAGACACGGCCCAGACUCCUACGGGAGGCAGCAGUGGGGAAUAUUGCACAAUGGGGGAAACCCUGAUGCAGCGACGCCGCGUGGAGGAAGAAGGUCUUCGGAUUGUAAACUCCUGUUGUUGAGGAAGAUAAAGACGGUACUCAAC